GCCGGGAUGGUGGAAUUGGUAGACACAAGGGACUUAAAAUCCCUCGAACCUUGGUUCGUGCGAGUUCAAGUCUCGCUCCCGGUACUA
rnacentral:tRNA from 1 species